UACGUAGGAUGCAAGCGUUGUCCGGAAUUAUUGGGCGUAAAGCGCACGUAGGCGGCAUUGCAAGUCGGAUGUGAAAUCCCUCGGCUUAACCAAGGAAGUGCAUCCGAAACUGCAGUGCUUGAGUACUUAAGAGGAUCGCGGAAUUCCCGGUGUAGUGGUGAUAUGCGUAGAUAUCGGGAGGAACACCAGUGGCGAAGGCGGCUUUCUGGGCCUUACCUGACGCUGAGACGCGAAAGCGUGGGGAGCGAACCGG
rnacentral:rRNA from 1 species